CCGCCACAGCCACGGGGGGAGGAGGCGGCAGCGCGCCUGCGCCGCCGGGCGCUGCCGACGAGGGAGGGAGGGAUGGACCCGCCGCUUUCCCGGCUCCGGGGCCGGCCGUGAGUACGGAGCGGGCACGGCUGCGGCAGGUAGGGGCAGUGCCUUCCUUUGGAUCUGGCUGAUGCAUUGUGAAUAUUAACGGCAACAAGGAAAGUUCCCAGACAGAACAUGAAGCCCAAGACAAUGCAUCCUUCCAGUAACUCCUGUAAAAAUGCACAAGAGACCUUGAACAGAAACAUGGCCUGAAGAAAGUUAAUGAAGUUGUUAAUAGUCUGUGUCACAAAUGAGAAGACUGUGGAUGGUUCUGGUUUCUUCCUUCAGGCCUUGAUGAGUCAUGAAUAUGAUAGAAAGCUAAUUUUUCUAAUGGAGCAGGUUCUGUGAGUAAAAGAAGAGGAAAAAUCAAGGAAAAACCUAAAAUACAGACAUCUGGUGACAAGAGCUACUACUGGUGGUGACCAGUGUGUUGUAAGCUGGAAUUUUCAUGAAUCUUAAUGGAUGUUUUGACCUAAUUUACAGAGUCUUCCUUGUUAAUUAACUUUUUAGAAAGGUCAAACCGUUUUUUUCCACAAAAGGUCAUGUAUUUCAACUAAGAAAUCUUUUUUCAUCUACAGAACAAUACAGCAACACAAAAUUCAGGUGUUUUUCAUUCUGAACAUAUCAAUGGAUCAUGAGCAAUAUGCAUGGACUAUUUAACACCCCUUUGCCCUAUCCUCAUUAAAUAAUUCCUUUUUGUGUUUGUGUGUGUGAGUGAUCCCAGGGUUAUGCAUUUAUCCUGCAGCAGGCUCAUCCUCUGGAGCCUGGAGAUGAAGGAAAAUGACAUUCCAAAAACCCACAUGGACCUGAGAAGUGUGAGAAGAAUGCUCCUUGUAAAACAAGGGUGCCACAUUUAGAUAAAAACCUCAAUUUCAGUAUCAGAAAUGCUGUGAGCAUUUCAGUUCAUUGAAAUGUUCAUUGAAUUAUGCAGCUUUAUUGCUUCUGAAAGUGCUUGUACCUCUUGGUCAGGUCAAGUGGUACCUGAGGGCUCACAGGCCUUACAAUAAAGCACACUGUCUUGGUUUGGAAAGCCAGGUGUGUGCUAAGGAAGGCAGGGCCCUCCCCUGAAUUGGAGAAAAUCAACCCCUCACCCCCCAAAUUGCUAUAAAUCAUAAAUUAAGGGACUCUCAGGCAGCAAAAGUUAUGGGAGUAGGAAUAACAGUUCUUUAAUAGGGAAGAAAGAAAAAGGAUAAAAUAAACAAUGCAGUACACCAGAACAACACUGACAGAGUCAGAACCCAACCUGACACCCUGUGGGUCAGGCUGUUGGUGGCAGUGCCAUUGGAAUUGGGGCUCAGCCCUCCUGCAGUGUCAGGGGUGGUUCUGCUGGAGCAGGAUCCUGUAGAGAAGGAUGGAUUCUUCCUCUGAAGAUCCAGUGGAAGGAGAGGCAGCUGCUGUUCCUCUGGGGAAUCCAGUGGAAAAGCCAUGCUGGUGUUCCAGAAUCUCCAGAUUAUAUCCAGGUAGGAAUGCUUGGCUCCUCCCUCUGGGCUCACAUCUCCCAGUGGGAUGCUGCAGUUCUUAUCAGCCAUGCAGUGACAUUCAAUAGCUGUUAUCAGCUGAUGUCCCCUCCUGAGGGAGGUGUGAUUGUGGUCACUCAGAGAGAGAUAAGGCAAACUGCCCACUUGACAAAAGACAAUCUGCCAUACAGAUGGUAAUGGAAAACAUCUUGCAUUGCAAUCUGGAGCACACACCUAAAACAGGAAUGGCACUGCUGGAAUAUUGAGAUUUUCAAAUCAUUCUUCCUAUUUAAGUAACAGCUGAAUGAACUGCCCCUUAAAAAAGCCCCAUAAAACCUAAAGAAAGAAAUCAGAAAAGGCUUUUUUAUUGAGUUGGUGAACCUGCUCAGAAAUACUGAAGGGACACAGAAAACCAGUGUGGUCACAGGACUUGCACUAAUGUGGAGAGAAAAAACUGCCAAUAUCCUAAUUGGAGAAUUUCUCUGAUGGGAAACUAGGAUCCAUUCCACUUCAUGAUUUCUUCAUGCAAACCACAUAAAAUAUUUUAUAAAACCUGAGUGAUUUCCAUAACAGAAUUUUGGCAAUUUAAAGCAAAACAUUUUGCUGUGACAGUUCCUACAAAUCUUUUAGCUAUGUUUUGUAUUAUAAAUAUGUCAAAAUGAAGCCAUUUCUGUCCAAACAAAAAUUUUCCAGGCUUUUAAAAAAUAUUUUUUAUUUGCCACAGUUAAGAUGAAGACUGAUUUCAAAUGCUGUAACUUAGAUCUGCAUAACCAUAAACCCACAAGGACAUAGCUUUAGUCUUAUAAAUAAGUAAUGUCAUUAGAUACAGUAUUCUUAUUUUAAUUGACUCUGUUUGCUACUCUGUAUAACAGUGAUUGAAAAAUAAAAGUCAUUUAACAUUGGUGAAACCUUUUCUAGUGGUUUCUGAACUGGAAGUCCACAAGCACCAGCCAUUGGCAAAAA